AGCGUAGCUCAGUUGGUAGAGCCCUGGCUUCCCAAGCCAGCUGUCACGGGUUCGAGUCCCGUCGCU
rnacentral:tRNA from 1 species